rnacentral:pre_miRNA from 1 species
AAAGUACUCCCUCCGUCCCAAAAUUCUUGUCUUAUAUUUGUCUAGAUACAGAUGUAUCAAGUCACAUUUUAGUAUUAGAUACAUCCGUAUCUAGACAAAUCUAAGACAAGAAAUUUGGGACAGAGCGAGUAGUUG